rnacentral:rRNA from 1 species
UACGAAGGGGGCUAGCGUUGUUCGGAAUUACUGGGCGUAAAGCGCGUGUAGGCGGGUCUUUUAAGUCAGGGGUGAAAUGCCAAGGCUCAACCUUGGAACUGCCUUUGAUACUGGAGAUCUUGAGUCCGGGAGAGGUGAGUGGAAUUCCGAGUGUAGAGGUGAAAUUCGUAGAUAUUCGGAAGAACACCAGUGGCGAAGGCGGCUCACUGGACUGGUAUUGACGCUGAGGUGCGAAAGCGUGGGGAGCAAACAGGG